rnacentral:rRNA from 1 species
UAGAUACCCCUGUAGUCCACGCCGUAAACGAUGGAUGCUAGGCAUUGGCAGUAUCGACCCUGUC